AUAGCAAGUCGUUCUAUCGCUGUUUCUUUAAUUAGGAAGAGAGGAAAGUCCGGGCAACAUAGAGCACCAUGCUUCCUAACGGGAAGAUGUUUGUGAGGGUAUAGUAGUGCAACAGAAAAUAACCGUCGCGGUUUAUCUGCGAUAAGGGUGAAAAGGUGAGGUAAGAGCUCACCGGUGUUGGUAGUAAUAUCGACAGCCGUGUACCUCAUGGGUUGAAAGACCAAAUAAACCGAUGCUGAGGGCUGCUCGCCCAAUGUCGGAGGGUAGGUUGAUUGAGCCUGUUGGUAACAUCAGGUCUAGAGAAAUGAUAGAAAUCCCGAUUUAUCGGGAUACAGAACCCGGCUUAUAGACUUGCUAUUUUU
rnacentral:RNase_P_RNA from 1 species